UACGUAGGGUGCAAGCGUUGUCCGGAAUUAUUGGGCGUAAAGAGCUCGUAGGCGGUGUGUCGCGUCGGCCGUGAAAACCCGCGGCUUAACUGCGGGCUUGCGGUUGAUACGGGCGGGCUAGAGUUCGGUAGGGGAGACUGGAAUUCCUGGUGUAGCGGUGAAAUGCGCAGAUAUCAGGAGGAACACCGGUGGCGAAGGCGGGUCUCUGGGCCGAUACUGACGCUGAGGAGCGAAAGCGUGGGGAGCGAACAGG
rnacentral:rRNA from 1 species